AGUCGGUUAGGGGGAGAAUUAAAGGGGCAAGGGUACCACCGAACACCCAUUUAGUCUCUCUUAUUUCUGCAAACAGCAAGAAAAAAAAGAGAGAAAGAAGGAGAAGAAGAAAGGAGAAGGAAGAAGAAGAGAGAGAAAUAAAAAGAGAGCUCAUUUAUCUUAGACAACUCAGGGAAUUUGACUAGCAGUGUGGAAAUCUGUACAGUGCAAAAAGGGAAUCUACCUAACUCUGAACACCAAAAUGACGAAAGCGGUAUUUUGCUGAGUCUUAGCAUUGAUCAUGAGGUAGUGGCCAUGGAUCACUUGGCUUAUAUUCAAGAACAUGAAUUCGACUAUGGACCCGCCUGUGAUUGUGACGACUGUGCCUACAGAGGCCAGUAUUACUGAGAAGUACAUCUACCACUGACUAUUCUUUUUGUGUAAUUAUAUGCUACCAUGAAGACUUCACUUUUUGCUAGUCUGAGCUCACUGACGAAUAGGGUUACUUGGAAAUCAUUAUGUCUUUUGUGUACAUAUUCUUUUGGUUUAUAAAUUUGUAAACUAUGGUAUCACUUAGAGACAUUGGAUGGCUAUGGAGUUUAUUUAUAACUGUGAUAUA